CAGCAGCCGCGGUAAUACGGAGGAUCCAAGCGUUAUCCGGAAUCAUUGGGUUUAAAGGGUCCGUAGGCGGGAUAAUAAGUCAGCGGUGAAAGUCUGUGGCUCAACCAUAGAAUUGCCAUUGAUACUGUUGUUCUUGAGUGUUUAUGAAGUGGUUAGAAUAUGUAGUGUAGCGGUGAAAUGCUUAGAUAUUACAUGGAAUACCGAUUGCGAAGGCAGAUCACUAAUAAAAUACUGACGCUGAUGGACGAAAGCGUAGGUAGCGAACAGG
rnacentral:rRNA from 1 species